CCCCCCAGCUCAGAGUUUUUUCCAUGGCUUCAGGAGGAACGAUGGCGGCGUGCCUAAUACAUCCAAGUCGAGCAGAUCUUCAUUAGCCUGCUUUGAAGAUCAGCGGCGGACGGGUGAGUAACACGUGGGCAACCUGCCUGUAAGACUGGGAUAAUUCGGGAAAACCGGAGCUAAUACCGGAUAAUCCUUUCCCUCACAUGAGGGAAAGAUGAAAGACGGUUUCGGCUGUCACUCACAGAUGGGCCCGCGGCGCAUUAGCUAGUUGGUGAGGUAACGGCUCACCAAGGCAACGAUGCGUAGCCGACCUGAGAGGGUGAUCGGCCACACUGGGACUGAGACACGGCCCAGACUCCUACGGGAGGCAGCAGUAGGGAAUCUUCCGCAAUGGACGAAAGUCUGACGGAGCAACGCCGCGUGAGCGAUGAAGGCCUUCGGGUCGUAAAGCUCUGUUGUCAGGGAAGAACAAGUACCGGAGUAACUGCCGGUACCUUGACGGUACCUGACCAGAAAGCCACGGCUAACUACGUGCCAGCAGCCGCGGUAAUACGUAGGUGGCAAGCGUUGUCCGGAAUUAUUGGGCGUAAAGCGCGCGCAGGCGGUUCCUUAAGUCUGAUGUGAAAGCCCCCGGCUCAACCGGGGAGGGUCAUUGGAAACUGGGGAACUUGAGUGCAGAAGAGGAGAGCGGAAUUCCACGUGUAGCGGUGAAAUGCGUAGAGAUGUGGAGGAACACCAGUGGGGAAGGCGGCUCUCUGGUCUGUAACUGACGCUGAGGCGCGAAAGCGUGGGGAGCGAACAGGAUUAGAUACCCUGGUAGUCCACGCCGUAAACGAUGAGUGCUAAGUGUUAGAGGGUUUCCGCCCUUUAGUGCUGCAGCAAACGCAUAAGCACUCCCGGCC
rnacentral:rRNA from 2 species